UGGGAUAGAGUGGGUGUGGUGGAGGUAGCAGAGCCCAGGGCAACCUCUCCCUUCAUGUGCCCAGAUCCUGCAUGC
ensembl:miRNA Mir343 microRNA 343